AUUCACCCAAUAGGAAGCAGAAGAAACCUACACUUUCCUUUGAUUUUGGUUUCCAGUAUUUAGACUUUCUCUAAAUAUUACCUCAUACAACUACCAGAUACUAUUCACUGGAGGAUGAGCAGUUUCUUCCAUAUAUGGCUUUGGACAUGAACAAAGAGAGGCUCAAGUACAGAACACAAGAGUGAGAAUCGGAUGAAGAUUCACAGAGAACAAAAAAAGGCAUCUAAAUCCAGAACAAGCUCCAAUUAGUACUAACUGUAUACUGUCCUUUAAAACAAAAGAAAGCAAAGCCAAGAAAGAGACAGCUGAUUGCUAAGAUGUGAACCUAACACAAAGACAGCAGAAGACCAGGAGACUAACCGAAACAGAAGCACCAUGGAAGUUGCUGCAGGGACAAGCAGUGCACACUCAUGCUCUGAUUUUAACUCUAAGCUAAAAGACUAUCAAGAGGAUGGACAUGUAAACCGAUGAGAGCUGCAGGCUUCUGAUGGGGUUCAGUCAUUGAAGACUCUAAUGAAAAUACUCUUCUAUUGAUUUAUUUUCUCUCACUUUCCUCUUACCCACCCCCACCUCCAUCCCCUGCCUUACAGAGGGGGAAUACCAGCCAGUUUAUUGACACGGGAGCCUGAGAGAAAACAGGAAAGUGGGGUACAGUAUGGUCAGAGGCAACAGCAUUGGGUUGGCUUGUGAUGAGCUCUGCCUGUCCUUGGCCUCACAGAGUCAAAAGCACAGACUGAGUCUUCCUUGCUACUGAAGUCUGAACAGUGGAAAAUGAAUAUUGGGCAGGGAUGGUACCUCUGCUACCUGCAGCUUUGUCUGAGGUCAAGACAGUAGGUACAUGGAUUUUUGGAGUUCAUAUUUUAAUGUAUUCUCAGUAACAAGCCUGGAUAUAAAAAAGGAAUUACUGAGCACCACAACUUUCGCAUUUAAUCUCUGAAGAUGUUCAAGGAUCGAGCUACUAAAGCCACAAAUGGGAGGAAGAAAGGACAGCUGAACCUGAUACACAAAGCACUUCCUGACUCCCAGAAGAUUUCACAGACCCCAAAUCUCCACUACAUUCUCCUGACAUGGGUUGCUUUUUUAUAUUAGAUCAUUUCUAAACCAUGCAGUACUUACUUUUGUUUUCAUUACAGAUAGAGAG